AUUCAGAUGACGAGUCCUAAAUAGGACGAAACACACGUUCUGGAU
rnacentral:hammerhead_ribozyme from 1 species